rnacentral:rRNA from 1 species
AGAACGAACGCUGGCGACAGGCCUCAAACAUGCAAGUCUAGGGGGUGUAGCAAUACAUCACCGGCGGACGGGUGCGUAACACGUGGGAAUAUACCUUUUGGUUCGGAACAACGCAGGGAAACUUGCGCUAAUACCGAAUGUGCCCUUACGGGGAAAGAUUUAUCGCCAAAGGAUUAGCCCGCGUAGGAUUAGCUAGUUGGUGAGGUAAUGGCUCACCAAGGCUCCGAUCCUUAGCUGUUCUGAGAGGAAGAUCAGCCACACUGGGACUGAGACACGGCCCAGACUCCUACGGGAGGCAGCAGUUGGGAAUCUUGGACAAUGGGGGAAACCCUGAUCCAGCCAUGCCGCGUGAGUGAUGAAGGCCUUCGGGUUGUAAAACUCUUUCGACGGGGACAUAAUGACGGUACCCGUAGAAGAAGCUCCGGCUAACUUCGUGCCAGCAGCCGC